rnacentral:rRNA from 1 species
GUAAGAGAUCGUAGGUGGUUUAUUAAGUCGGAUGUGAAAUCCCGGGGGGCCCCCGGAACUGCAUUCGAUACUGGUAGACUAGAGUAGGGAGGGGUAAGCGGAAUUCCGUGUGUAGCAGUGAAAUGCGUAGAUAUACGGAGGAACACCUGAGGCGAAGGCGGCUUACUGGACCAAUACUGACACUAAGGAUCGAAAGCGUGGGUAGCAAACAGGAUUAGAUACCCUGGUAGUCCACGCCCUAAACGAUGUCAACUAGCCGUUGCGGGUAUUGACCCCUGCAGUGGCGAAGCUAACGCGAUAAGUUGACCGCCUGGGGAGUACGGUCGCAAGAUUAAAACUCAAAGGAAUUGACGGGGGCCCGCACAAGCGGUGGAGCAUGUGGUUUAAUUCGACGCAACGCGAAGAACCUUACCUGGGUUUGACAUCCUUAGAAUACUUUAGAGAUAGAGUAGUGCCUUCGGGAGCUAAGUGACAGGUGCUGCAUGGUUGUCGUCAGCUCGUGUCGUGAGAUGUUGGGUUAAGUCCCGCAACGAGCGCAACCCCUAUCGUUAGUUGCCAUCAUUAAGUUGGGCACUCUAGCGAGACUGCCGGUGACAAGCCGGAGGAAGGUGGGGACGACGUCAAAUCAUCAUGGCCCUUAUGUCCAGGGCUACACACGUGCUACAAUGGUGGCUACAGCAGGCUGCAAAGGGGCGACCCGGAGCAAAUCGUUAAAAGCCAUCUCAGUUCGGAUUGAAGUCUGCAACUCGACUUCAUGAAGUUGGAAUCGCUAGUAAUCGCGGAUCAGCAUGCCGCGGUGAAUACGUU